GAGUUUGAUCGUGGCUCAGAUUGAACGCUGGCGGCAGGCCUAACACAUGCAAGUCGAGCGGAUGACGGGAGCUUGCUCCUUGAUUCAGCGGCGGACGGGUGAGUAAUGCCUGGGAAUCUGCCUGGUAGUGGGGGACAACGUUUCGAAAGGAACGCUAAUACCGCAUACGUCCUACGGGAGAAAGCAGGGGACCUUCGGGCCUUGCGCUAUCAGAUGAGCCUAGGUCGGAUUAGCUAGUUGGUGGGGUAAUGGCUCACCAAGGCGACGAUCCGUAACUGGUCUGAGAGGAUGAUCAGUCACACUGGAACUGAGACACGGUCCAGACUCCUACGGGAGGCAGCAGUGGGGAAUAUUGGACAAUGGGCGAAAGCCUGAUCCAGCCAUGCCGCGUGUGUGAAGAAGGUCUUCGGAUUGUAAAGCACUUUAAGUUGGGAGGAAGGGCAGUAAGUUAAUACCUUGCUGUUUUGACGUUACCGACAGAAUAAGCACCGGCUAACUCUGUGCCAGCAGCC
rnacentral:rRNA from 1 species